GCCAAGGUCACUUAUCCUGGCUGGAAACGGCUGCACCGGCCGCUGGAGAGGGGGCAGCCUCUACAGGAGAGUUUCGUGCACUGAGUGGAGGCCUGUGGGGACCUGGAGCAGAGCAUAGACCGCUGGCUUAGUCAAUUAGAGAGCUGCUGCUGGCUGGCUCAUGUGAAGGAGGCACUGAGCACCGCCUGCCUAGCAGCCCAGGGCAUGAAGAGGUAAGAUCCCCACCCUAGGAGACAGCACGGGGCACAGCUCUCAAUCCCUGGGUACAUGUCUCAGUGAGCAAAUACAGCUUAGAACUGGGUGCAUUCUAUUCCUGGCCCAGCCACCCAAGGCAGGAAAGGACUGGCUUCAGUUGAUAAGCCCUGGGCCCACAGGGAAGGGGCCUGCAUCCUGGUGCAUGGGGCUGAAGGCACUGACAGCACCCUGCUUUUGACUUUGCUGGCCCAACUCAUCCUGGAUCCCUUGAGUCGGACAAUUGCUGGAUUCCAGGAGCUGGUGGAACGGGAGUGGAUCCAGGUAAGUGGCCAUCCAGCCCCAACCCUUCCCCUCCACCCAGAAACCCCGCUUCCUUGUGCCCAUCGCUCUGCCCCUUCCCAGGCUGGCCACCCCUUCCAGCUGCGCUGCGCCCACUCAGCCUUCUCCCACACCUGCCCCAAGCACAAGGCACCCACCUUUCUCCUCUUCCUGGACUGUGUAUGGCAGCUGGGCCGCCAGUUCCCGCUGUCGCUGGAGUUUGGGGAGGGGCUGCUGUUGGCGCUGUCUAUGCCUCCCCCUUUGGCACCUUCCUCUGCAACAGCGAAAAGGAAAGGUGAGCUAAGGAGGUGUCGAGGCGGGUCAUGGGGCAGGCUUCGGAGAGUUGGAUACCUGCUGUGUCAGCACCUUAUUUCCUUGGAAGAUAUCUUUCCCUUUCAGAUGAGUUUCUUUUAGAAAAAAAUCCUAGUGUCCUCUCCGUCCCUACCUCCAGAUUUCACACUUCCCCUUAAAUUUUGUAAACCCAGAGAUGGAUGGGUCCAAAGCCAAACCUUUGGACCUACCCACUCUGUCCAUAGCCAGUAACAAUUGCACCCCCAGCUUAAAAACAAGGACUGAAAGGGAAAGUUGCUGCAAAAAUAAAUCUUUUCUGGGCUCUCUACCACUUUGUAAGGUUGAUUCUAGUGAAGCAACAGAAGUUGAAAGCUGAGUCCAAUUGUUUGGGCUCAAAUUCUGGCUCCACCACUCACCUGCUGGGUGAUCAUAAGCAAACCUGUCUGUUUGCUCAUCAGUAGCAAGGAGAGGAUCAUGAUCGCAGCCAUAAUCUGAGGUGGUGGUGGUGCAAGGAUUAGCAGAGUGAAAACAUGGAAAGUGCUUAGCACAGUGCCUGGCAUACAGUGGGCACACAAGCGAUAGUUAUUUUUGUUUGGUUUCAUAUGCUCCCAAUAAGCCUCCAAAAGCCAUCUUUCUCUCAUCAGACUGAAAGGGAGGGAGGGUUCACUGCUCUCCAGGAAGGUGGAGAUCACAGUCAGUUAUCUUUUGUUGCCCAGCUUCUUCCUUUUCAUUAACUCUACUUGUGGGUCAACCAGGUUAGAAACUGUUAUCUUUGUUUACCUCACUCCCCCCAUCCUUCAUGUUUACCUUUCUCCUAAAAUUUUCUUAGGUUAGUCCUCUCCUGUCAAAGGCCCCUCCUACCAACCCCAAUCUGAAUUCUUUCCAUGUGGAUCAUUGGAAGAGCCUCCACACUGCUCUAUCUCCACUUUCAUCAUUCAUCAGUAUCAACAUUCACAUUGGGCCCUUUCCCACUUUCUCGCUUUCACUCAUGCAGUUUCCCCUUCUAAGUACUUCCAAGUUUUUACACACCUGGUGAACAUUUGCUGCUAGACCCAGCUCCAAUGGCACAUUCCUAAUUAGCCUUCCCUAACACUUUCAGGCAAAGCUAGGCAGAACUCUUUAAGAACUAGGCUUUGUCUUGUUCCACUUUACUGGAGUGCGUAAUACAGGAUCUGACUGGCAGUAGUAACAUUUGCAGGAAAAGGGAGAGGUUAUCACUGCCUCAAGGUAGCUGUCACACCACCAACCAGGGCCCUCCGUUCAGAAUCCCAGAGUGCCUGUUUGAGUCUAGAAACUCUCUCCCUCCAGAUGUCUGUGUGAAGUAAGAACUCGAACACACUCAUUGUGGUCGGGGCUCAACCAGCCACAACAAUGAAAACUCCAGAACCCACUCUACGUCCAUAAUCCCUUGGCCAUCUGGCCUUCUGUGGAGCCUCAGAGCCUGCAACUGUGGCAAGGCCUGUUUCUGCGCUGGACCCGCCCACCUGAGGCUUCAGAGGUAGCAUGGGAGAAAG